rnacentral:rRNA from 1 species
CCUACGGGUGGCUGCAGUGGGGAAUAUUGGACAAUGGGGGCAACCCUGAUCCAGCCAUGCCGCGUGUGUGAAGAAGGCCCGCGGGUUGUAAAGCACUUUCAGUGAGGAAGAACGCCUGGUGGUUAAUACCCAUCAGGAAAGACAUCACUCACAGAAGAAGCACCGGCUAACUCCGUGCCAGCAGCCGCGGUAAUACGGAGGGUGCGAGCGUUAAUCGGAAUUACUGGGCGUAAAGCGCGCGUAGGUGGCUUGAUAAGCCGGUUGUGAAAGCCCCGGGCUCAACCUGGGAACGGCAUCCGGAACUGUCAAGCUAGAGUGCAGGAGAGGAAGGUAGAAUUCCCGGUGUAGCGGUGAAAUGCGUAGAGAUCGGGAGGAAUACCAGUGGCGAAGGCGGCCUUCUGGACUGACACUGACACUGAGGUGCGAAAGCGUGGGUAGCAAACAGGAUUAGAUACCCUAGUAGUC